CGCAGGUGGUUUCUUAAGUCUGAUGUGAAAGCCCACGGCUCAACCGUGGAGGGUCAUUGGAAACUGGGGAACUUGAGUACAGGAGAGAAGAGUGGAAUUCCACGUGUAGCGGUGAAAUGCGUAGAGAUGUGGAGGAACACCAGUGGCGAAGGCGACUCUUUGGCCUGUAACUGACACUGAGGCGCGAAAGCGUGGGAGCAAACA
rnacentral:rRNA from 1 species